GUCUAUGGGAUAGAAGCUAUUGUUAGAACACUGCGACACUGCCAGAAGACUAGUAGUACCGACACACUGACACAGGGACUGUUGCUGCUUUCUGAAAUUCUUCACAGGCAACCCAAAGAUGUGAAAUUGCUAACCAGUCUGACUAUCAGCAAACACAUUUGUGACAUGUUAGCUCAUUGCAUCAAGCAUCAGGACAAUGCGGUUUCUACACAAGCCAUCCAAGCAUUCACUCACUUG